UACGUAGGGCGCAAGCGUUGUCCGGAAUUAUUGGGCGUAAAGAGCUCGUAGGCGGUGUGUCGCGUCGGCCGUGAAAACCUGGGGCUCAACUCUGGGCGUGCGGUCGAUACGGGCAUCACUUGAGUUCGGCAGGGGAGACUGGAAUUCCUGGUGUAGCGGUGAAAUGCGCAGAUAUCAGGAGGAACACCGGUGGCGAAGGCGGGUCUCUGGGGCCGAUGACUGACGCUGAGGAGCGAAAGCAUGGGUAGCGAACAG
rnacentral:rRNA from 1 species